CUUGUGAACUGCAGGACACAUGAACAUCGACAUUUCGAACGCACAUUGCGGUCCACGGAUACAAUUCCCGGACCACGCCUGGCUGAGGGUCG
rnacentral:rRNA from 3 species